rnacentral:rRNA from 1 species
GACGAACGCUGGCGGCGUGCCUAAUACAUGCAAGUCGAGCGGAACUUAGAAAGCUUGCUUUCUAAGUUUAGCGGCGGACGGGUGAGUAACACGUGGGCAACCUGCCUAUAAGACUGGGAUAACUUCGGGAAACCGGAGCUAAUACCGGAUAAUAUAAAAGAUCACAUGGUCUUUUAUUGAAAGAUGGCUUCGGCUAUCACUUAUAGAUGGGCCCGCGGCGCAUUAGCUAGUUGGUGAGGUAAUGGCUCACCAAGGCGACGAUGCGUAGCCGACCUGAGAGGGUGAUCGGCCACACUGGGACUGAGACACGGCCCAGACUCCUACGGGAGGCAGCAGUAGGGAAUCUUCCGCAAUGGACGAAAGUCUGACGGAGCAACGCCGCGUGAACGAUGAAGGUUUUCGGAUCGUAAAGUUCUGUUGUUAGGGAAGAACAAGUACCGUUCGAAUAGGGCGGUACCUUGACGGUACCUAACGAGGAAGCCCCGGCUAACUACGUG